GACAAAAUGAACAACUUGUGUU
rnacentral:siRNA from 1 species